AUUGAACGCUGGCGGAAUGCUUUACACAUGCAAGUCGAACGGCAGCACGGGGGCAGCCCUGGUGGCGAGUGGCGAACGGGUGAGUAAUACAUCGGAACGUGCCCGGUCGUGGGGGAUAACGUAGCGAAAGUUACGCUAAUACCGCAUACGAUCUGAGGAUGAAAGCGGGGGACCUUCGGGCCUCGCGCGAUCGGAGCGGCCGAUGUCAGAUUAGGUAGUUGGUGGGGUAAAGGCCUACCAAGCCGACGAUCUGUAGCUGGUCUGAGAGGACGACCAGCCACACUGGGACUGAGACACGGCCCAGACUCCUACGGGAGGCAGCAGUGGGGAAUUUUGGACAAUGGGCGCAAACCUGAUCCAGCCAUUCCGCGUGCAGGACGAAGGCCUUCGGGUUGUAAACUGCUUUUGUACGGAACGAAAAGGCUCUGGCUAAUACCUGGGGCUCAUGACGGUACCGUAAGAAUAAGCACCGGCUAACUACGUG
rnacentral:rRNA from 1 species